rnacentral:rRNA from 1 species
GACGAACGCUGGCGGCGUGCCUAAUACAUGCAAGUCGAACGCUGAAGCGAGGAGCUUGCUCUUCUUGGAUGAGUUGCGAACGGGUGAGUAACGCGUAGGUAACCUGCCUUGUAGCGGGGGAUAACUAUUGGAAACGAUAGCUAAUACCGCAUAACAAUGGAUGACACAUGUCAUUUAUUUGAAAGGGGCAAUUGCUCCACUACAAGAUGGACCUGCGUUGUAUUAGCUAGUAGGUGAGGUAACGGCUCACCUAGGCGACGAUACAUAGCCGACCUGAGAGGGUGAUCGGCCACACUGGGACUGAGACACGGCCCAGACUCCUACGGGAGGCAGCAGUAGGGAAUCUUCGGCAAUGGGGGCAACCCUGACCGAGCAACGCCGCGUGAGUGAAGAAGGGUUUCGGAUCGUAAAGCUCUGUUGUAAGUCAAGAACGAGUGUGAGAGUGGAAAGUUUACACUGUGACGGUAGCUUACCAGAAAGGGACGGCUAACUACGUG